CUGCUCCGAAAUAAAGGAAUCGUUCAUCCCGAAAUAUGUGAUGCGACGAUACGAGGAAACAACACCCCUGGGUUUCACGGCGUAGUGGAAAAUUGUUACACAUCUGAAAAGCGGAACAAAGGUGUAUUCCCGUAAUCAAGAUGUACCGAUUGUCUACGCAAAAUUACCGUGGGAAAAACAGAGAAAAUCGAGAAAAGUGAAAAGUCGUAAUCAUUUACCAAUUAAUUGAUAGGUAGCGAACUUACGAAAAAUUAAUAUGGGAAAAAAUAGAAGCCUCAAAAACCAUAGAAACUAUAGCCCUAGAAAAAAAUGGAGCGUCAUCUCACCACGUGAGUUUCUUGUCCCACGAAUUCGAGCCCCUUCGGUCAUUUCCGGGAUGUUACCGUACGGGUUUG